GGGUCCGUGGCGCAGCUUGGACGAGGCAACUCCAAACAGCGCGUCGGCCUUCUAAGCCGGAGAUCCCGGGUUCAAAUCCCGGCGGACCCG
rnacentral:tRNA from 1 species